CCUUGUCUGGGAAAGAGACGGAGGGAGAGGAGGAAGGAAGGAAGGAAGGAAAACUUAAAACAUUUGAAAGCCUGGAAGGAGCCCUCAGCCGCGUGCCAUGCAGACCACCGCAGAAGGAGCUGGGCGAGUUGGAGCUCCUACAACUGUUGCCUCUCUGGAGUUAGGCGAAACUUUCUGAAACUGUUUCCAGCCACAGCAAUGAAUAUAAGAAGAAAGCGGCAAGGAGUGCGUGACAAUGUGUAGCUGCAAUUUCAAACUCCUGUUUGGCAGAGUGUUCCACUAGGUCUAAACGGAUCUAGCCGUCACGAAUUAGGGCUACUGCACAUGCCAAACCCACCGCCCCCCAGACUUACCACUCCACCUCCUCCUACCCUUUAGAAAGGACCCUCUUCGUACCCUGGACAGCCCAUGUCCCAAGGCGCCAUGAGCGGGGGGCGCUUCGAGUUUGAUGACGGCGGUGCCUACUGCGGAGGCUGGGAGGGUGGCAAGGCACAUGGACAUGGCAUCUGUACUGGCCCCAAAGGUCAAGGGGAAUACUCAGGUUCCUGGAAUUACGGCUUCGAGGUGGUCGGGGUGUAUACCUGGCCAAGUGGAAACACCUACGAAGGGUACUGGUCUCAAGGCAAACGCCACGGGCUUGGCGUCGAAACCAAAGGGCGUUGGGUCUAUAAAGGCGAGUGGACGCAUGGGUUUAAAGGAAGGUAUGGGACCCGGCUGAGUCAGGGCAGCGGGGCCAAGUACGAAGGCACCUGGAGUAACGGGCUGCAGGACGGCUACGGCACAGAGACUUACGCAGAUGGAGGCACGUACCAGGGUCAGUUUACUGGAGGAAUGCGUCAUGGCUAUGGGGUUCGGCAAAGUGUUCCAUAUGGAAUGGCUGCUGUGGUUCGUUCCCCGCUGCGAACGUCCCUCACUUCCCUUCGUAGUGAGCAUAGCAAUGGCACUCUUGUACAACAGGAUGCCCCAAACCUUAACCCUGGAAAUGCAACUCCAGGUCUGGAGAGUUCCUUUGUUCCUGCCAGCCCUUCCCGAGGUGGAUUUGCUCUUACCCUGUAUGUAAACCCAGAGGUGGUGAAACCUAAAAAGAAGGGUCUCUUCCGAAGGGGCUCCUUACUGGGGAAGCUCAAGAAAUCAGAGUCAAGAACCUCCCUUUCCAGUCAGAAGAGUAAAAUUAGCUUUCUUAAGAGUGAAUCUGGUCUUAGCUCUGCAGCAAGUGACGCAAACUCCACCAUUAGUCUAGGAGAGGGAACUGAAGGGGGUGAAGACUUUCCACCCGUUGAGGCAGACAUUGAUGCUACUACAACUGAGGUCUACAUGGGGGAAUGGAAGAAUGACCAUCGUUUUGGCUACGGGAUUAGUGAGAGAUCAAGUGGGCUGAAGUAUGAAGGCGAGUGGCUGGAUAAUCAGCGCCAUGGUUAUGGGUGCACAACAUUUCCAGAUGGGAGGAAGGAAGAAGGAAAGUACAUGAACAAUAUGCUAGUGAAAGGAAUGAAGAAAAGAGUGAUACCAUUGAAGAGUACUAAGAUAAGACAGAAAGUUGACAGAAGUGUGGAGGGUGCCCAGCGAGCAGCUGCUAUUGCUAAGCAGAAGGCAGAGAUUGCGGCCUCCCGGACUACCCACGCCAAAGCUAAGGCAGAAGGAGCAGACCAUGCCGCCUUGGCCUCCAACAACGAGUCAAGCAUAGCCAGGGUGGUCGCACGUGAGCUCUCCCCAUCCUUCUACCAACCAGGUCCAGAAUACAUAAAGAGAAAAGUGCUUCAGGAAAUUGCUGAAAGUAAAGAAAAUGUAGACAAUGCUGAACAGGAGCCCCCGUCUAUAGAGGAGCCUCCUCCAACACCCCCAGAAAGCCCCCAGCUUCAUGAGAAAGAAAGUCUGGAUAGGAGCUCUUCUCCGUCCCAUACACCAUCACCAAGUCCUGCUGCAACACCCCCAGAAGCCAAAAGGUCUAAACUGUCCCUGAAGAAGGAGACACCAAAUUUUCUCAGUCCUGGCAACUGGAAUGGAGAACAGGCAAGCAGAAGUGGAAGUCGCACAAGCAGCCACCCUAACAGCCAGCCUGGCAGUCGACCCAACACUCCUAGUAAUGUGUGUCAUUUGGUAGUAGAUGAGAGGCAUGGUUCCAGCAGCCGCAGUCAUUCACGGGCCUCCAGCAGGCAGAGCAAUCGGGCAGAUCAAAAUAGCAAUUAUGAGCUGGAGAUUAAACCACUUCAGAAGAUGGACCGUUCGAGGGAAGGCACUCCAGAACCAAAGAUGGGAGAUGUGCUUCAAGCGUUCCAUAGUUAUCCUGUGAAGACCAAGGUCAUCUUUCCUACUGAAGAAGAUGAGAGAACCCCUUCUGUCAAAGUCCCCUCAAAACCUACUACUCCAGAACCAAAAGUAGAAGUGAAGGGGCGAGAAACCAAAGUGGAGAUUCGUGAGACAUCAGCUACAGUACAGCAUGCAGCAGAACCAGAGCCUAAGUUGGAAGUGCAGCCUAUUCAGAAAGAAGAGCCAAAGCCAAAGCAAGAGCCUAAAGUUAUCCCAAAAGCAGAAGCAAGUCCACUAGUCAAAAGAGAAUCUAAAGUGGCAACUAAGCCAGAACCAAAGCCAAUAACCAGGUCAGAACCCAAGCCAAUUGCCAAACCAGUCCCAAAGGCUGAGCCUUCAUCAAGAUCUGAUCUUAAAUCUAAGGCUGCAGCUGCUGCUAAGAAUCUUGCUGAAGCAAAGGAGCCAUCAGAUGCUGAACAGGGACCUAACACUAUACUGAUAUGUAUGGUUAUACUUCUGAAUAUUGGUUUGGCAAUUCUGUUUGUACACAUUCUGACAUGAAACACCCCGCUUUGGGUUCUGUUACUUGCAAGAAGGCUGAUGAAGUAAUAAAAGGUUGUCAAUGGUUCCCAAAGCUGCCCUUUUAUCUGAUGGCAUCCAAAGCACAACAAGUGAACUCACAAGAAGCUUCUUGGAAGUGACGGUUUGCACUACGCCUUUCAAGCAUAGGCAAAAAGUAGACAUUUGGACAAGUUUGGAAUCUGCAGUUAUGUGUAUAUAUAUGUAUGUCUUUAAUCUAAAAUGGCAAUAUGGCCCACCGCUGCACCACAUGCACAGUUAUCGACGAAACCACCCAACUGUUCUUUUAUCCUGAAACAGGAAUAACUUCCUACCAGAAGAGCUACAUAGAGUUACAUAAAAUUGCCUUCAAUAGAAUUGUGAAAAUGAUUUGAUGAAAUAUUGGUUAAUUGAACAAACAAUCACCGGUUUCAUUUGAUUAUUUCUUAAGUGGAGCGGGUGAGAUUAAAACAAGUGGGAGUACAUUAAUAAAGAAAUUUUCAGUUCCAAAGUAUCCAGCACAGCGUUCUACACUUGCAGAAGAAAUUAUUGGUAGAGACGAUGUAAAGCAUAACCUAACUUGGACUAGCAUGCCAGUCAGGAUUGGUGCAGAGAUUGGCUUAAUCGGCCUGGAAUGUUGUCCUUGACAGGCGGGUUCUGCAAAUGGAUGGAUGAAUGGAUGGAAUGUUCAUGACAAGACCUACAAUCUCCCUUUGAUUGUGUGCAUUUUGACUUUUUAGAGGUCAUUUAUAUUGUCUAAUUUCAGAGCUUGAAACACAUUUUGUCAAAAACAGUUAUUGGUUGAUUGACAAAAAUACAAUCCAAAGUUGAAAUGACUAUAAAUCUGCCUUUCAAACUAGAUUUAAUAGUAUCUUCACUUCACCUUUAUUAGACUUUACCAUGGAGAAAUUUCUCAUACAGAACAUGAAUCUGAAACUAAGAGAAAUGUGACAUGGGCACCGAUGCAUAUUCCAAAGUGACCAUCUGUGACAUAAAAAUGAACACUGAUGCAUUACCUGCAGGGCCAGUAUGUCUAUGGGAUGUUACUACAGGUCAGCAGGGUUUUGUGCAAAGCUUGUGUCUUGGGCCUUUGGUAGGCCACUUGCUUUGAAGCUGCCAAAGAACAGUAAAUGGAAGACCUCCUGAGCAGCAGGGACAGACAAACCUCAAGAAGUUGGCAGCAAGAGCAGAGAAGAUGGUUCUGAUAGAGAAAUGGGUGGCAUCUCUCUACGCAAAAAGUGAAUUUCAUCUUUGGAAAGAAAGAAAGAAAGAAAGAAAGAAAGAAAAGGUAUACACUGAAAAGCUUGGAGAGAUUGUCCAAACAAACUGCAUUUUGUUUUCCUCCCACAUACUGUAGUAGUUGGACUGAUGCAAACUGCAUUCCAGCUCCCUAAGAAACUGAAUCAGCUUUCAAAAACUAACAUCACAGGACCUCAGGCCUUGGUGCUUAGCAGUCACUAACAUGUUAAGCAUCUGGGUCUAAGAAUGAAGAGGCCAAAGAUUCCAAGUUUCAAGCCUAAAACACAAGAUGGCAUUUAAUGAACACUAGUGAAGUGAACAUUUUGACAUGAUCCUAAGUAUCACACAAGAUUAGGCAAAUAAACCAGACGAGGCCUUCGUUCUGAUCUGUCUUCUGGAUCUGCCACAUUGGGUCACCCACUAUACCCUUUUCUCUGCAACAAUCACCCCCCCCCCCCCAUUUUUUUUCCUGCAUGUGUGUGAUUUAUUUUUUGUAUAUUUUUAUGAAUUUUUGUUCUGCUAUGCACACGAGUGUUUGUAAAUGAAUGGUGAUAACUGACAAACAAUAAUGUGAACUUGGGGAUGUAUUGUGUCCAAUGCCUAUUUUCAGACAAAAAGAAGAUGUGUGUCGCUCUCAGAUGUAAUCAGUUUUAGUAAAAACAAAUCAUUAGACUUUAAAAAAAAAGUCACUAUAGAGCAAAAACUGGGAUUUCAGUAUUCAUGUUGAUGACCCCACAGAAUGCCUACGAUUUCAUGGAGCAUUCUACCUUUUAUAUAAUUUGUACUGUGUUAUGUAUACAUAAUGUCUCAUUAUGUUCCAAACCCACCUCCAUAUAUAUCUGCCUAAAUUCCAUAACACUGUCCACGUAUGGUCUGAACACUCCCUUCAAUGAUUUGUAUAAAUAAUGAUUACAAAACUGCCUCAUUAUGACUCAAACACUCCCUCAGAUAUAUAUACAUAAAUUAAAUAAAUUAGCCAUCUUAUGAUCUAAACAUGGCCUUGAAUAUUUUGCAUACAUUUUACAAUUCCGCCUGUUGGUUUUAAAUGCUCACUUGAACAAUCUUGCAUGAAUUUCAUACAUCUGACAUCUCAUGGUACUAUAUAAACACCUCCAUCAAUAUGUGUGUGUGUCAUUGUCUUACACGGCUUUGUUAUGGUUCAUACACCUCUUCGCACUUACACUCAUGAGUGCCAUCCUGUGGACUGAACACAUUUUUCAGUAUAUUCCCAUUAUACUGCUCAUCCAAAUUUCGAUGUCCAGCAGUAGCAGAUCACUCCCUAACUUUGUCUCCACAUCUCCCUUCUUUACAAAUAAACAUAACUUCACUGAGGUUCAUUGUAGCUUUCAUAGAGUCAAUGACAUUCCACAGUUUUUCGCCAAAAAUGGGGAAAAAUAACAAGCUUAGUAAUUUUACACCAAUUAUUUUUUUCACAAGUGAUACUAGAUUGGCAUCCUGUCCAGGUCUGAUUCCUAUCUUGCACCCAAAAUGGCUGCUGGCUUUUAACAGUUUUGAUCAGUAAAAGCGGGUACUAGCAAUCAAUGGGGCUUUACUAUGAAAGUUCAAGACUCACUAGAUGGGUUUUAUGGAAUACAUUUUACAUUCAACAGCUGGAAUGACAAGAUGAAACACUGCCUAGCAAAAAGAAGAGUCUCAUAAAAUCAAAAAUGAUUUCAGUUUGGAUACUCUGGAAUGAACCCCUCUGAUUUCUUGUAAAAUUUUAAGGUAACGGAAUGUAAAAUAAACCCUCAAGUCAAUUUAUACCUGAAGAGAUUUCACCAUGAUUAUUGUUAGCGGAAGUUCAGAAAUGAGUGAUUGGAUAAUUUGCUGUGUUUUAACAACUCAAUAUUUGAACUCUGUGUUUUUUUUCCCACCUUCCCAUCGGUUUAGAAACCUACUUUAUUGAUUCAGAAUAUCUGGCAACAUUAAGUGCGAGGAAGGAGCCAAACCUCCCUCAAUUAGGAACAAAUCAUCAGAAGGCACAUAUUAGGAAAUAAGGUCUUUGUUUGGCUGCGAAGGCCAUGAAGGUGCUGCUUGCUGCCCUUCACUGUGCAAGUCAGUCAGGCAAACGGCUUAAGUAAAGCAUUCAAAUUGUCCUCUAUGUGUAUGUGGGGUGUCAUCAGCUGCUGGGUGUCAAGUCUUGUGGAACAGACGAGGCAGGAUGAUCUUUUACUGGCUCACAGGUCAGUUUUCCUUUUGUUUUGUGUUGUUAAGUCAAAGUGCUGCUGCUGUGAUAUUUUUUUAAAGACCCAGCUUGUUCAACGUGUGACUACAGGAAAUAAAGAAGAAACAAAAUGUAGAAUUACACUGAAAUAAAACUGUUGUGAAGCCCU